rnacentral:rRNA from 1 species
CCUACGGGAGGCUGCAGUGAGGAAUAUUGGUCAAUGGGCGCGAGCCUGAACCAGCCAAGUAGCGUGAAGGAUGACUGCUCUACGGGUUGUAAACUUCUUUUAUAAAGGAAUACAGUGAGGCACGUGUGUCUUUUCGUAUGUAUUUUAUGAAUAAGGAUCGGCUAACUCCGUGCCAGCAGCGGCGGUAAUAUGGAGGAUCCGAGCGUUAUUCGGAUUUAUUGGGGUUAAAGGGUGCGUAGGGGGACUGGAAAGUCAGCGGUAAAGUCAAGGGGCUCAACCUCUUUCCGCAGUUGAAACUGUCGGUCUUGAGUGGGCGAGAAGUAUGCGGAAUGCGUGGUGUAGCGGUGAAAUGCAUAGAUAUAACGCAGAACUCCGAUUGCGAAGGCAGCAUACCGGCGCCCGACUGACGCUGAGGCACGAAAGCGUGGGUAUCGAACAGGAUUAGAUACCCCGGUAGUC